ensembl:lncRNA
AAUCAAAAGAAAAACCUGAAUGCAUCAUGUCUGAUCAACAUAUCAAGUUGUGGAAGUUCAUUAUUCUGCAACACCAACAAGACAUUUUUCUAAAUAAUUCACUUUCUCCUAUAAAUGCCUUUAUCCCAGACAUUCAGCACUAGAUGGCAGUCUAUCUGCUGAUAAUGGUUUGUGUUGAAAUUUUAUAAAUACAUGUACGGUACAAGAUGUUCACAUCUUCCAAACCUUGUAGGUGUGACACAUAAUAACAGGGCACAGACCUCUUAAAUUCAUUAGAAAUUGUAAAUGUAUCUCUUACUUUUCUGCACCCCGAUGGAUUAGACUUUGAUGAGGAAACAACCCAACAUAGUGAUUUUUGAUCUGUUCAUUACCCAGCUGCAGAGGGACAUCCUGGUGGCUGGGCCACCCAACGGCAGAUGUGAGGGGAGCUGCAGUGCAACAGAAUUACCCCCUAAAAUACAUCACACUCACUCUCAGGAUUCACAAGUUAGAAAGACUCCAGAGAACCACAAAAACACACAGCCCGUGUGUGACAUGGUUUCAGCUGGUGGGGGAUGGACGGUGUUGAUGAACAAACUGACUUUAAACCGAACCUGGCAGGAGUACCUUGAUGGAUUCGGCUCCCCGCAGACAGAGCACUGGUUAGGGAAUGCAGUUCUGCACUAACCGCCAAUGGGCAUCACACGCUCCGUAUCACUCUCCAAGACUGGGAUGAACAGACACGUCAUGCUAACUAUAACAACUUUAAAGUGGCAGUAGUAAACCAGAGGUAUAUACACACAUAGUCAUACUAGUAUCUGGUGUAAGACUAGUGUCAAAGCAGAGUCUCAACAAACCUGUAUAAAAUAGGCCUAGUUCAGUUUCUUAUUAUGAUGCAUGUGUGAUAUUCUCUCCAUAAGGUUCUGCCUAACUGCUUGAGAUUACCAUGACGAUGCUGGCAAACAGUACAACCACGAUGGCAGAGUUUUCAGCACAUUUGUAACUGUGGCCAUUAUUAUGGUGCAGGCUGGUGGUUUGAUUCCUGUUUGGUCACUUACAUCAAUGGGCACUACUAUCAUGGGCAUUACAGUGGCAUCACGGAUGGCAUCUACUGGGGCACCUGGUAUAUCCUAACUGACUAUCACACAGGGGAAAGAUACUCAUUUAAGAGUGUUGAAAUGAAAACUAGACCAAAGCGGAGUUAAGGAAAACUUUUUUUUAAAUGACAAAUCCUUAUCAUGUAAUCAUACUCUUGCACUAUUUCAUUGUAGUAUUUCAUUUCAAUAAUGGCUUGUAAUUAUAUAACCUUGACCUGCCAUUAAACUUGAGAUUUUUAGAUAAUUGUAUGAUAUGAGAACAUAUUUAUAAACAUUUGUUCUAAAAUAAAUGUCAUAUUUUAAGCA